rnacentral:lncRNA from 1 species
UCCCAGGAAAAGAAACCCUUAAUAAAUAAGAUAACUUAGUCUGGGGAUAUAGCUUAGUUAGUAGAGUGUUUGCCUCGCAUGCACAAGGCCCUGGGUUCAAUUCCCAUCACCUAAAUAAUACGACUGGAAACAAAAAGAAUCCAAAAGAUGUCAAGUUCCUGUGUUCUCUAGGUGGAUUUUCUCGUGUAAUAAUUCAGCAUUUUAAGUUGUCAUCUGACUCCAAAGCCCGUGCUUGUGACAACACUGAUCCUGCAGCGAAAUCACAGACUCUAGCAGAAUUCUGCCUGCCCAGUACAGGGUAGGUUGCCUCUUCCAUUAUACCAGCACCUUGCUUCCUUUUACCCAGCAGUCUGGGGGGGCUGGCUCCAAAAGAGGCUUUGUUAGUAGUUGGACACAUGAACCUUCCUAAUUAAACCAGUGGACACUGGUCUUCCCUCAAAGUUCUGCCACUCACAGGCAGCCAGUCUUACCCUUCUGAGGCUCUGAUACUAAGAGCGAUAGACAAGACAGAAGUGCUUUCUGUACUGGUGGAAUAGGAAAAGAGCCACUGGAUUCCAUGCGAGAGACUGCAAGCACAGUUCGGUUGCUGAGGCUUCAAGUCUUGGCCUUGGCUUGCUUUCUGUAGGUCACAACAUCUGGGCUCAAGUCUUGAUGAACUCCGGGGACUAAAGAAAGAAUGACAAUAACUUACUCUUAUCUACCCAAUCUCAGACAAUAACAUUUGAAACAAAGUAAGGGUAGGUUUUUGUUUUUGUUUUCAUUACAAAUUACUUUCUACUAAUUAUUAAGGUACUUUCAUUUACCUUAACAUUUGUUACAUUUUACAAUUACAUGGCUUUGUAAAAUUAAACACUUGUAUAUCAAAAUAAAAUUUAUGUGGAUUUUAGCAUCCAUUUAAAAGUGAAAUAA